rnacentral:rRNA from 1 species
CGCUGGCGGCAGGUCUCUAUACACAUGCAAGUCGAGCGCCCCGCAAGGGGAGCGGCAGACGGGAGAGUAACACGUGGGAACGUACCCUUCAGUUCGGAACAACCCAGGGAAACUUGGGCUAAUACCGAAUACGUCCGUAAGGAGAAAGAUUUAUCGCUGAAGGAUCGGCCCGCGUCUGAUUAGCUAGUUGGUGGGGUAAUGGCUCACCAAGGCUACGAUCAGUAGCUGGUCUGAGAGGAUGAUCAGCCUCACUGGGACUGAGACACGGCCCAGACUCCUACGGGAGGCAGCAGUGGGGAAUAUUGGACAAUGGGCGCAAGCCUGAUCCAGCCAUGCCGCGUGGAUGAUGAAGGCCUUAGGGUUGUAAAGUCCUUUCGACGGGGAAGAUAAUGACGGUACCCGUAGAAGAAGCCCCGGCUAACUUCGUGCCAGCCGCCG